AGAGAUCCGCGUACCGCAAAAAAAAAAAACCAAAAAAUUGCUACGCUGCUCUUCCAUUUCUUUCCUGCCCUCAGUCCAAAAGCUACUGGAAGGGCAACAAGGCAGCCCUCUGUGCUGGCAGGGCCCGGGAGCGGGUGUAGUCCUCCCCUGGGAUGAGGGACAGGGAAGAGCCGGAAGAUUCCCGUGGCGGUGACCAGGACGCAGCAACGCUUCUCAACACGGACAAAGACGGGACAAUAAACAGAUGUAAGUGUGAGGUGAGGAGAAAGGGUGGAAGAGAGACCGCUAAAGCUUUUUUCCUCCAAAGAAGCAAUAAGAAAACUAGCAAAAAAUGUUUAGUCAACUUCUUCAGAACCCUGAAACUCACCCAAAGGACUGCAUCAACAUGGGGAGAAUUUAUUCAAGAAAUGGUUGAAUCUCAGUAAGAUCAGUGAGCUGUGGCAUUCAAACUCGCCCUGUUCCCGCCUCCUUUCCCGUAGCUGUGAAAACCAACAGCUGAAAUCGUGGGGGAACCAGCAUUCUGGCAGCCACAGGGUGAGAAUGGGGCUGGGGCUCCUUCAAGGCCUGUAUGGCAACUCCCUGGAAGGUUCCACUGGCAAGGCUGUUUUUGUUUGAUUUGACUGGAAGCUCUCUUAGUAUAAAAAGCCUUUUCCUCGGGAUGUUUGUUGAAAACAUCUAGAGGCAAUUUUGAAACCUGUGCCUGCCUAAGACAGUGGACAGCAGACGGGGAAAAACAAGCUAACCAGAAAACUUAAAAGGAAGAGCUGGGGAAUGAGAGAUCAAGAGGAGCUUUGAAAAGCUCCAAAAUAUUCCAGGGGAUCUAGAAGUCACAUGCACAUGUAGAGCUCUGUGCACGCCUGAGAGAGACCUGAAAAGGCCCUCUCACCUCUGGCUGACUGAGGCUCUGCAUAAGCAGGAAGUGGAGGAGAAAGUCAAGGUGUCAACUACCUGGCUGGGAGGUGAAGGCACGCCCAGCACAUACAGAGUCCGCUGCAGAGGCUGGGAGGGUUAUUGUCUCCAGGCAUUGAAUGACGUUCCUGCUCCCUUUACUCCCUGACCAAUGGGCUAACUGGGCAGAGAACUCAGUGACCACACAUAACAAAGAACACAAACUGCCCAGAAUUAGUUCAGAAAAGUCACUAAACAAACAAACAGCAACAGCAAGAAACAGCGACAAAUCCUGGCGAGCGUAGAAAAUCUGAUACUGAGUUUAACAAAUGCCACAUUAUAUUAAUGGAAAGUCCAACAUUCAACAAAAAGUUACGAAACAUGCAAAGAAACAAGGUAUGACCCAUACAUGGGACAAAAGCAACCAAAAGAAACUGUCCCUAAGGAAGCUCAGGUGUUGGACUUACUAGACAAAGACUUUAAAAUCAGGUAUUUGAAAUAUGUUCAAAGAACAAAACAAAAUGGCAUCUAAAGAAAUAAAGGAAAGCAUAAGAAUGAUAUCUCUUAGAACAAAGAAUAACAAUAAAGAUAGAAGUUAUAAAUAUGAACAAAAAAAAAAUCCUGGAGUUGAAAAGUGUAACAACUCAGAUUUAAAAUUCACUAGAGGGCUCAAGAGCAGAUCCAAGCAGGAAUAAGAAAGAAUCGUGAAGGAAGAUAUUCAACUGAGAUUACCUAGGCUGAGAGACAGAAAGAGAAAAGAAUGAAGAAAGUGAGCAGGCCUCGGAGACAAUGCGGUACGCCACCAAAGACCAACAUAUGCAUAAAGGAGAGGAGAGAAAGGGACAGAAAGAAUAUCUGAAGAAAUAAUGGCAGAAAACUUCCCAAAUUUGAUGAAAAAUAUCCAAGAAGCUUAACAAAUUCCAAGGAUAAACUCAAAGAGAUUCACAUCUAGAUAUCCAUAAUCAAACUGAAGAAAGCAAAAGACCAAGGAAGAAUCUUGAAAGCAGUUAAGAGAGGAUAGACCCAUCAUGUACAAGGAAUCCCUAAUAACAGCUAAUUUGUCAUCAGAAACCAUGCAGGCCAGAAGCCAGUGGGAUGACAUACCAAAAGUGCUGAAAGAAAAAAACCUGUCAGCCAAGAAUUCGAUAUCCAGCAAAACUAUCCUCUAAAGAUAAAGGCAAGGUUUCCCUGUCUGCGAAGGCAGCUAAGGAGAUCCAGCGAACCACUCCAAGGAGAAAAAAAACGAAGCUUAUUUAAGUCAUCUAAAGUCUCUGGAAAUUGUCCUAAAGGCAUAUAACAAAUGAAGAAACAUUUAUUCAAGAAAACCUAAAACUCAGUAGGAACAGACAAUCAUCUGAGACAUUACAUUCCAUGCAUGUCUCCUUACGUCAUUCUCGACAGUCUCAGACUUUCCUGGUUCCUGACGCCCCUGACAGCUUUGAGGACGGGGCUGCUACUGUGUAGAAUGUUGCUCAACUUGGAUUCGUCUGAUGUUUUCCCCUCAUGAGGAGUUGGGGUUAUGUAAGUUUUUGGAGAGGAAGACCACAGAGGUGGCUUGCACUGCCCAUCACAGCACGGCAGGGCACACCCGUCAACGUGACUCAUCACUGCUGCCGGAGGCCUGUCUGUCAGGCGUCUCCACUGUACAGUCUCUCCCCCCACCCCCUCCUGUACUCCUCAGAAGGAAGUCUGUGUGCAGCCAACACUGAAGGGUGGGAAUUACGUGUCACCCCUUUGAAGGGAGUCAACAGAAAUAAUGUGGAAUUCUUCUGCAUGGGACACUUGUUCCAGAGAUAUUCUGUUCAAUUUCCUUCCUUUUUAUAUCUUCCAUUUCUCUGUCUUAACGUUUUCUCUCUACUUCUUUGAGCAAACAGAGCAUCUUAAUAACACCUUUAAUGUCCUUGCUCGCCACUUCCAUCACACCUGGAUCUGUUACUAUGACUCUUCCCUUCUUUGUUACAGGUCACAUUCUCAUGCCAAGUGGAUCAUCUAUUAGUUUUGACUAGAUCCUGGACACGAAGAAUUUUACUACAUUGUGUCUGAGUUUAGUUGUCUUCCUUUCAAGAGUACUGCACCCUCAGUUCUGCAGCAAAGGAUCAGCCUGAUCCUUUUUUUUUUUGCGGUAUGCGGGCCUCUCACUGCUGUGUCCUCUCCCGUUGCGGAGCACAGCCUCCGGAUGCGCAGGCCCAGCAGCCAUGGCUCACGGGCCCAGCCGCUCCAUGGCACGUGGGAUCCUCCCGGACCGGGGCACGAACCCGUGUCCCCUGCAUCGGCAGGCGGACUCUCAACCACUGCGCCACCAGGGAAGCCCUGAUCCUUUUAAGGCUUGUUUUUAAGCUCGUUUACACUGCAUUUGGGUAGCCUUUUCUCUGGGGCUAAUCCAGCCCCACUUUCAAGGCGUGGCUGUUCUGAGGUCCGUGAAAGGCUCUGUAUGUUAGAGCGGUCUCUCCACUCUGGCUGUGAGGAAUCAGAUGACUUGGCCAGCUCUAGGUGAGCCUGGUGAUUGCUCACCACGUGGCUCCUCAGUGGCUGUUCUUUCCCUGGAAGUUCUCGGGCGGCUUCCCAGGCUCCCCACACGGAUGCGCAAAGCAGCACUCGACCAAGAUCCUCAGGGGCUCACGUGCAGCUCCUCCUCUCUGGUACCAGGCCUUGCAAAUUCUGGCUGUCUCAGUUUCUCCAAAGGCCAGGCUCUCAGAGUCUGGACACUGCUUCCAGAUAGAAAGCCUAGGCACCUGGAGCGCUCACCUGUCCUUCCUGUUUAACAAUCCUGAACACUGUUGGUGGGUUGAGUCCAUGUUGAAUGUGUCCUGCCAGCCUGACCUUAAGGUGUGUUAGAAGUUUGAGAGGGCCUUCUGGUGAGUCCAUCGCAGAGCCCGAUGUCUCCUCCUCCUCUGCUGACCACGUGCAAUUCUUGCAGGAAGUCCUGGCUUACCCUUGGAUAUAACGGAAACCAGUGACGGGAAAUAUGGCAGGACCAGGGAGAAGCUGUUGCCCAGCUGCUGGCUGGGUCGCAGCACAGGCGCCAUGACCAAAGCAUCCCUGCUCAAGUCCGGCCGCUGGCCCCAUGCUCGGGUCUCCAGGCCCAGCUGAACAUUUGCACACGGGUGACUGCUGACUCAGUAACUGCCGGCGCCCUCCCAGUGGGAGGAGACUGUGGGGCAGCUGCCAGCGCCUCCAAGAUCGGGAAACAUUCAGGGAGCCGGCCUCCCUCCUUCCACAGCCUGCAAAGCCAGCCCCUGCGAGCCCUGCAGAUCUCAAGGAAACCCUGCAGCCAAAGGUGCAGGCUCUGGGGUCUUUAGCCCGGUGCCUGUGAUAUCUGAUGGGAGCUGACCGCUCAUUCCAGGGUGGGUCCUAAGGACCCUGCUGACCACUCCCUGGUCCUUUAAUAAAGAAUUCUGAGCACACACGGCCCAGUGGAGCCAGGCAGGCUCAGGCUCAGGUGUGCUGUGCCCAUCUACCCUCCCUCCAGCCCCUUCUGAGACCCCUG